GCAGAGGUGUCAGAGCGGUCGAAUGUGCACGCUUGGAAAGCGUGUGUAGUGAAAGCUACCUCGGGUUCGAAUCCCGACCUCUGCGCCA
rnacentral:tRNA from 1 species